AAUUUACUGCAUGACUUAUAAAGAUAGGUUUUCAAUGUUUGACAAGAAUUAAUUUUAAGCAAAUUUAUAAUUUCACGUACUUCAGCACCCACUUCAUACCACCACGCUAAUAUGGUAUGAGAGAGUACCUGCUCGUGUUUGUCUUGUUUGUCUUCUUUGACGAGGAGAACUCCAAGAAAUGGUGGUGACGAAGCUAAUUGUAAGAAGCUAGCAGGUCAUAUGAAUACUGAAAAUACGCGAAAAACUACAUUUCAAUUAUAUACAGAGUCGGGUGGUUUGCCUUAGCGACCGCACAUGAUGAACCGUAUAUCCAUACCUUGGUAGUUAAGUUAGCUAGCUCC
rnacentral:sRNA from 2 species